rnacentral:rRNA from 1 species
AACGAACGCUGGCGGCGUGCCUAACACAUGCAAGUCGAACGAGAAAGGGGCUUCGGCUCCGAGUAAAGUGGCGCACGGGUGAGUAACACGUGGGUAACCUGCCUCUAAGAUUGGGAUAACUCGUCGAAAGAUGAGCUAAUACCGAAUAAGACCACAGUUCCCGCGGGAACAGGGGUCAAAGGUAGCCUCUGCUUGCAAGCUAUCACUUAGAGAUGGGCCUGCGCACCAUUAGCUAAUUGGUAGGGUAACGGCCUACCAAGGCAAAGAUGGUUAGCGGGUCUGAGAGGAUGAUCCGCCAACCUGGGACUGAGACACGGGCCAGACUCCUACGGGAGGCAGCAGUGGGGAAUAUUGCGCAAUGGGCGAAAGCUUGACGCAUCAACGCCGCGUGAGUGAUGAAGGCCUUCGGGUCGUAAAGCUCUGUCGGGAGGGACGAAUGCUCCUGAGGUUAACAGCCUCGGGAGGUGACGGUACCUUCAAAGGAAGCACCGGCUAACUCUGUG